rnacentral:rRNA from 1 species
CCUACGGGAGGCAGCAGUGGGAAUAUUGCACAAUGGGCGCAAGCCUGAUGCAGCCAUGCCGCGUGUGUGAAGAAGGCCUUCGGGUUGUAAAGCACUUUCAGCGGGGAGGAAGGCGGUGAGGUUAAUAACCUCAUCGAUUGACGUUACCCGCAGAAGAAGCACCGGCUAACUCCGUGCCAGCAGCCGCGGUAAUACGGAGGGUGCAAGCGUUAAUCGGAAUUACUGGGCGUAAAGCGCACGCAGGCGGUCUGUCAAGUCGGAUGUGAAAUCCCCGGGCUCAACCUGGGAACUGCAUUCGAAACUGGCAGGCUAGAGUCUUGUAGAGGGGGGUAGAAUUCCAGGUGUAGCGGUGAAAUGCGUAGAGAUCUGGAGGAAUACCGGUGGCGAAGGCGACCCCCUGGACAAAGACUGACGCUCAGGUGCGAAAGCGUGGGGAGCAAACAGGAUUAGAUACCCGAGUAGUC